GUGUCAGCAGCCGCGGUAAUACGGAGGGGGUUAGCGUUGUUCGGAAUUACUGGGCGUAAAGCGCGCGUAGGCGGAUUGGAAAGUUGGGGGUGAAAUCCCGGGGCUCAACCCCGGAACUGCCUCCAAAACUUCCAGUCUGGAGUUCGAGAGAGGUGAGUGGAAUUCCGAGUGUAGAGGUGAAAUUCGUAGAUAUUCGGAGGAACACCAGUGGCGAAGGCGGCUCACUGGCUCGAUACUGACGCUGAGGUGCGAAAGUGUGGGGAGCAAACAGGAUUAGAUACCCUGGUAGUCCACGCCGUAAACGAUGAGGGCUAGUUGUCGGGCGGCUUGCCGUUCGGUGACGCAGCUAACGCAUUAAGCCCUCCGCCUGGGGAGUACGGUCGCAAGAUUAAAACUCAAAGGAAUUGACGGGG
rnacentral:rRNA from 1 species